CAGCAGCCGCGGUAAAACGUAGGUGGCAAGCGUUGUCCGGAAUUAUUGGGCGUAAAGGGCUCGCAGGCGGUUUCUUAAGUCUGAUGUGAAAGCCCCCGGCUCAACCGGGGAGGGUCAUUGGAAACUGGGAAACUUGAGUGCAGAAGAGGAGAGUGGAAUUCCACGUGUAGCGGUGGAAUGCGUAGAGAUGUGGAGGAACACCAGUGGCGAAGGCGACUCUCUGGUCUGUAACUGACGCUGAGGAGCGAAAGCGUGGGGAGCGAACAGGAUUAGAUACCCGGGUAGUCCCUGUCUCUUAUAC
rnacentral:rRNA from 1 species